rnacentral:rRNA from 1 species
AUUGAACGCUGGCGGCAGGCCUAACACAUGCAAGUCGAGCGGCAGCGGGAAAGUAGCUUGCUACUUUUGCCGGCGAGCGGCGGACGGGUGAGUAAUGCCUGGGAAAUUGCCCAGUCGAGGGGGAUAACAGUUGGAAACGACUGCUAAUACCGCAUGCGCCCUACGGGGGAAAGCAGGGGACCUUCGGGCCUUGCGCGAUUGGAUAUGCCCAGGUGGGAUUAGCUAGUUGGUGAGGUAAUGGCUCACCAAGGCGACGAUCCCUAGCUGGUCUGAGAGGAUGAUCAGCCACACUGGAACUGAGACACGGUCCAGAAUCCUACGGGAGGCAGCAGUGGGGAAUAUUGCACAAUGGGGGAAACCCUGAUGCAGCCAUGCCGCGUGUGUGAAGAAGGCCUUCGGGUUGUAAAGCACUUUCAGCGAGGAGGAAAGGUCAGUAGCUAAUACCUGCUGACUGUGACGUUACUCGCAGAAGAAGCACCGGCUAACUCCGUGCCAGCCGCCGCGGUAAGAC